CCCCCCACGGGUUGAGCGCCCCACCAUGAGUAGUACUGAUAGUUAUGGUGUAGUACUGCCAUCUAGUGGUGGUAGUCAGAGUUAGUCAGGUUAUCAGUGAUAGUGUUAUAGUGAAGGUCAGGACAGUGACCAACCUCAAGGGCACUGAAGGUCAGUUGAACUUUAAUGGUAGUACAGGAGAGGUGUGUUGCUCCUCCUCCUGCCGCCCCGCCGGCUUUACCGCUUUCUCAUCCUUUUAAUACACCUAAAUAACGUGUGGUAACUGAGGAGUGCUGUGCCUGGCUGUGUCUGCUGCAACAUUGAUCAACACAGCAGCAGUCUGAGGGGUGGAGACAAUCAUACAAGUAAAUGGUCUGACCCAUAGCAUUUAGUGUUAUAUGGAGAUGCAGCAGUUGGAGACGUCUUAAGAGG